rnacentral:lncRNA from 1 species
UGUGUGUGUGUGUGCUUAAGAUUCAAUUCUAAUAUGACGUGCUUCUUUUGCUUUGUGAAUAAAUCAAAUAAAACGUGUUUUCACAUGCAUAUAUUGACUACUGCAGAGUUUUAUCAAAUUGGCAUGUAUUUAAUAUAUUUUAAAAACUUAAAACACUUCUAAACUCUUAAAUGAUGCACAUGUUGUUACUUAUUCAUUUAUUAUGACUGAAAGGUGCUGCAAUUCCAAGUUGACGUAUUUGACCUAGACACGAAAACUGAAUUGAGUUGGCUUUUCAGAACUCCUCCCUCUGUAUGCUUGUCGCUAUAAAAUAACUUCAAUUUAUUUUACAAGUGUUCGUCGCUGGGUUACUGUAUUUUUUAUCGUGAUUUAGAAAUAUUUCAUUUGAUGCGUGAAGAUAUGCAUGCGUAAUACAGAUUCAAAAUACAACGCAUAUGUCAGUCUCCACAUAUACCGACACCUGUUUGGAACAAUGUACACAUUCUUUGAAUUUGGAACAAGAAAUUAUGAUUUACUCUUAAAUUGAUUUGUGGAGAAAAAAUUAAUCACAUAUAAACAAUGGACUCUUACAGUUUAAUAUGAUAAACCGGUAAUUUCAGUGACCCAUCUUGUUGACGAAUUCCCCGACUGUAUUUUUGUUUCUUUUGUGUUUUUUUGUGUGUGGUGUUGUUGGUUUUUUUUUUGGGUUGUUGUUUUGUUUUUUUUUUGGGGGCGGGGGGGGGGGGUUACCUUAUGUUCUUCGAGAAUGAGAAUAUCUUAUCCCGACGGACUUUAGAACAAUUAAAAACAAAGGCAAAGCAAGUACUUUUGAAAUAAUAUAUUUAUUUGUGACCUAAUAUGUAAGCGAAGCAAUAUCUAUGCAGGUGUGUUCAGUUUAUUUUAAGACGUUGUUAGUUUGUAACUUCUUGUUUCAUUGGAAAGGGCAGUUAUUUGGUACGUGGUGAUUUGAUAUGCCUGUUAUCGGAUGUGCCUGUUUAAUAUUUGUUUUACGAGGUUUUGGAUAGUUUGCCAUAUCAGUUUAUCUGGAAACUUAUAUCUGGCUCCUGGAGAAAUAAGCAAUAUAAUUUGCAUUUCAAAAUCCCAAUAUAUAAUGUACAGUCAGACGGUUCAGAUAUCAGGUUCAGAUAUCAAGAAUCCAGAGAAUGUAGAAUGGGAACGACCAAAUGCCUUUUCCGCUCUCGGUCUAUUAUCUUUCUGGACAUAAACGGU